GUGCAGCAACCACCCUCCUCCAUGGACGAGGACGACCACCACGGCAGACACAUGGUCGAGUUCGUCGUCGCCUACUCCGGUGCGGUGCUGGACCAAGGACCUCCGCCUCAACAGAUCCUAGCUUGGAUUGGUGGUCUCUGACUUUGCAACAGAUUUUAUUGUGCAAAUCGGUGAAGUCAGAUUCUACUUGCACAAGUGGGAAGUCCGAUCAUUUGCUGCUCAAAAUCCGACAAAUCGGAGGAGGAAUGCGCGAGAAGCAAUUCUAUCAUCA